rnacentral:rRNA from 1 species
AGGACGAACGCUGGCGGCGUGCCUAACACAUGCAAGUCGAGCGAGGAGAUCCCUCGGGAUGAUCCUAGCGGCGGACGGGUGAGUAACACGUGGGCAACCUGCCUCAUAGAGAGGAAUAGCCUUCCGAAAGGGAGAUUAAUACCUCAUAACAUUGCAGUUUCGCAUGGAACAGCAAUUAAAGGAGCAAUCCACUAUGAGAUGGGCCCGCGGCGCAUUAGCUAGUUGGUGAGGUAACGGCUCACCAAGGCGACGAUGCGUAGCCGACCUGAGAGGGUGAUCGGCCACAUUGGGACUGAGACACGGCCCAGACUCCUACGGGAGGCAGCAGUGGGGAAUAUUGCACAAUGGGGGAAACCCUGAUGCCAGCAACGCCGCGUGAGUGAUGACGGCCUUCGGGUUGUAAAGCUCUGUCUUCAGGGACGAUAAUGACGGUACCUGAGGAGGAAGCCACGGCUAACUACGUGCCAGCCGCCGC